AAUGCCGGCAUAUUAGGAGGCCAAGGCAGGAGGAUCUCUUGAGACCAGGAGUUUAAGACCAGCCUGGUCAAUACAGUGAGACCCGAUCUAUACAAAAAAAAAUUUUUUUAAUUAGCUGGGCAUGGUGACAUGUACCUAUAGUCCCAGCUACUUGGGAGGCUGAGGCAGGAGGAUUACUUGAGCCCAGGAGUUUGAGGCUGCAGUGAGCUACGAUCCCACCACUGCACUCCAGCCUGGGUGACAGAGUAAGACCCCGUCUCAAAAAAUAAAAUAAAAUAAAAUAUAAAAUAAAAUAGAGACAGUCAAACGUGGCCUCCAAGCCUGACCCUGCGAUGAUACUGGCAGGAGGGAGGUAGGAGAGACUGGAAGAAUUUUGAGUCUUCCAGGGUCUCCUUGGAAAAUUAGUCCAUGGAAACAAAUCUCCUUUUCUCUUUUCAAGGCAGAAGAUUCCGCUGUGGGGGCAAUAAGAAGCGCAGGCAAAUCAAUGAAGAUGAGCCGUAACAGCAGGUAUGCUAGGAGGGCCUGGGGAAGGUGCGGGGAGGGCAGGGCAGGCUUGGGAGCAACAGGGAAGAAUUCUGGCUCCUGGACUCGGUAAAUAAGAAUUUUAGGGUCGUCCACACAUCAGCCAGGUGGUCUGUCACCCAUCGUGUGUUUAAAAUGAUGGCCAAGGGCCUGGCGUGGAGUGUGUGCCGCAGGAGAUCACAGAGGAGCCCUGGAGAAAAGUGAGAUGGACAAGGGGGAAGUAAAACCCCAACCUCUGCUGCCUCCCACCCAACCCCAUCCUGCCUUUGUCUUCUCAGCCUCGGCGGUGCCACCCACUGCACUGGGGCCAGCUGGGAAGCCAAGCAUGGCCCUGCCUCUGGCGCCUCCCCUUCUUCCCUGGGCUUUAGACCUUUGUCCCCGUCACUGCCAGCGCUUGGGCUGAAGGAAGCUCCAGACUCAAUGUGACCCCCAGGUGGCAUCGCCAACUCCUGCCUCGUGCCACCUCAUGCUUAUAAUAAAGCCGGCGUCAGAGACCGCUGCUUCCC
rnacentral:lncRNA from 1 species